CAACGCCACGUGUGUGAUGAAGGUCUUCGGAUUGUAAAGCACUUUCGACCGGGAGAAAACCCUGAGGCUAACAUCCUCAGGCUUGACGGUACCGGGAGAAGAAGCACCGGCUAACUCUGUGCCAGCAGCCGCGGUAAUACAGAGGGUGCAAGCGUUGUUCGGAAUUAUUGGGCGUAAAGCGCGUGUAGGCGGCUUUGCAAGUCGGGUGUGAAAGCCCUCAGCUCAACUGAGGAAGUGCGCCCGAAACUGCAGAGCUUGAGUGCCGGAGAGGGUGGCGGAAUUCCCCAAGUAGAGGUGAAAUUCGUAGAUAUGGGGAGGAACACCGGUGGCGAAGGCGGCCACCUGGACGGUAACUGACGCUGAGACGCGAAAGCGUGGGGAGCAAACAGGAUUAGAUACACUGGUAGUCCACGCCGUAAACGAUGAGAACUAGGUGUCGUGGGUGUUGACCCCCGCGGUGCCGUAGCUAACGCAUUAAGUUCUCCGCCUGGGAAGUACGGUCGCAAGACUA
rnacentral:rRNA from 1 species